rnacentral:rRNA from 1 species
CCUACGGGCGGCAGCAGUGAGGAAUAUUGGUCAAUGGGCGAGAGCCUGAACCAGCCAAGUCGCGUGAGGGAGUACUGCCCUAUGGGUUGUAAACCUCUUUUGUCGGGGAGCAAAAGCCGGACGUGUCCGGCUGUGAGAGUACCCGAAGAAAAAGCAUCGGCUAACUCCGUGCCAGCAGCCGCGGUAAUACGGAGGAUGCGAGCGUUAUCCGGAUUUAUUGGGUUUAAAGGGUGCGCAGGCGGGCUGUUAAGCCGGCGGUAAAAAUUCAGGGCUCAACCCUGUCGAGCCGUCGGAACUGGCAGUCUUGAGUGGGCGAGAAGUAUGCGGAAUGCGUGGUGUAGCGGUGAAAUGCAUAGAUAUCACGCAGAACGCCGAUUGCGAAGGCAGCAUACCGGCGCCCAACUGACGCUGAGGCACGAAAGCGUGGGGAUCGAACAGGAUUAGAUACCCCAGUAGUC